ACGGAGGGUGCAAGCGUCAAUCGGAAUUACUGGGCGUAAAGCGUGCGUAGGUGGUUCGUUAAGUCCGUUGUGGAAGCCCCGAGCUCAACCUGGGAAUUGCAGUGGAUACUGGCGAGCUGGAGUGCGGUAGAGGAAGGUGGAAUUCCCAGUGUAGAGGUGAAAUUCGUAGAUAUUGGGAAGAACACCGGUGGCGAAGGCGGCUCACUGGCUCAUUACUGACGCUCAGGCGCGACAGCGUGGGGAUCAAACAGGA
rnacentral:rRNA from 1 species